UUCCACUACCACUUGCUUGAUUCUGUCCAUGUUGGCUUAGAAUGGACUCAGAAUGGCAGAUCCCAGCACGGACAAGCACAUUACAUCAACGCAGUGCAAAAGUUAUAUAGGCUAUAGGAGUUUUUCACACCACUACUAGAAAGCAGUGAAGUCGAAGAUUUUAAAGACCUUCUGAUAAGUGGCGUGUCAUAGAUGAAUGCCUGUGCUCCCACAAAAGGCAGCGGGAAGGAUUUUAAAUUGUGUGAAUAAGUAGUUACUUCUACCUGCUCAGAAAAGAAAGAGAAAAUUGCUUAAGUAAAAGAAAGAUAGUUUGGAUUUAUCAAUAUGAAGAAACUAUGUUCAACUUUAAAUAGAAGAAAAAUGACCUCAGAAAUAUUCUUCUGAUGGAACACGGUUUGGCCUGUCACUCCAUGGUACCAAUCUGAGAGCAGACACAGCCCAGUAGGAGUGGAAGGAAUCAAAUUCUACAAGGAACUAACCUGGGACAAUGGUGAUCUAGUAGCAGACUCUCCACAUUAAAGAGCAAGACAAUAUUCAGAGUCAUUUUGAUUUCCAGUUCCAUCACUGCUUCCUAAGUUCCAACAACAGUAAGUGGCAAGAAUGAAGAAAAAUACCACCAUAUACAUAUAUAUAUAUGCAUAUAUAUAUAUAUAUAUGUAUGUAAAGAUCAUCAUACCCCAAAAAAUACAUGUGUUCUGUGUUUGCCUCAUCAUAGUGGGCCAAUAAAUA